CACCGGAUAGCUCAGUCGGCAGCGCACGAGACUCUAAAUCCCAGGGUCGUGGGUUCGAAACCCACGCUGGGUGA